UACAGAGGGGGCAAGCGUUGUUCGGAAUUACUGGGCGUAAAGGGCGCGUAGGCGGCCUUCUAAGUCGAACGUGAAAUCCCCGGGCUCAACCCGGGAACUGCGUCCGAUACUGGAAGGCUUGAAUCCGGGAGAGGGAUGCGGAAUUCCAGGUGUAGCGGUGAAAUGCGUAGAUAUCAGGAGGAACACCGGUGGCGAAGGCGGGUCUCUGGGCCGAUACUGACGCUGAGGAGCGAAAGCGUGGGGAGCAAACAGG
rnacentral:rRNA from 1 species